rnacentral:rRNA from 1 species
GACGAACGCUGGCGGCGUGCUUAACACAUGCAAGUCGAACGGAAAGGCCCUGCUUUUGUGGGGUGCUCGAGUGGCGAACGGGUGAGUAACACGUGAGUAACCUGCCCUUGACUUUGGGAUAACUUCAGGAAACUGGGGCUAAUACCGGAUAGGAGCUCCUGCUGCAUGGUGGGGGUUGGAAAGUUUCGGCGGUUGGGGAUGGACUCGCGGCUUAUCAGCUUGUUGGUGGGGUAGUGGCUUACCAAGGCUUUGACGGGUAGCCGGCCUGAGAGGGUGACCGGCGACAUUGGGACUGUGAUACGGCCCAGACGCCUACGGGAGGCAGCAGUGGGGAAUAUUGCACAAUGGGCGGAAGCCUGAUGCAGCAACGCCGCGUGCGGGAUGACGGCCUUCGGGUUGUAAACCGCUUUCGCCUGUGACGAAGCGUGAGUGACGGUAAUGGGUAAAGAAGCACCGGCUAACUACGUG